rnacentral:lncRNA from 1 species
GCCCGGCCCGGGCGCCUGUUAUUGUUGGGCCCUCAGCCCAAACUGAUCCCGCAGAGGCGGCAGCCAGCUCGUCAGUGACUUCCGGGACGUCCCCCAUCCCGCGCUCCCUGCUCCUCAGGCCCAGCUUGCUCCUUGCUCCUUUCUCCUCGCUCCUCCGACGCACAUCAGACCACUGGAAGGGGCCAUUCUACAAGGAGUUGUUGAGCACCUGCUGUCUAUCUACAGAAAUCUUGAAAUGUGGAACAGAGAUGGAAAUAUAGCAUGCAAGUCAGAAUGAAUUGCCAAACAAUGACAGAAGGCUGCUCUGAAAUGAUCAAAAUUUUCUCCUGGGACCUCACACCAAAGGAAUAUAAUAGGCAUUCAUUUCUAAGACAAUGCGGGUAAAGUGGAAUUCUAGUUUAUAUUACCUUUCUUAUUCUCUGCAUGCUGCUCUAGACAACUUUGUCAUGAUCCUUGCUUCUGGGGACUUGGUUUGUUUGGGGAAUGACAUCUUAUGAGGCAGUGGGAGCAAUACUUGUCCAGGACCAUUUUACCCAUGCAACCCAGAUGCAUAACCCAGGGGCAGAACUGGGGAUUCUAAUCAAGUCUCAAAGUGGAUAGGUUUGGAGAGGGCCAUCAUUGUAGCACAUAGAGGCUCCAAGAAGCUACAGUUCCUCCACAAGGCAAGCCCAGGUUCUGGCUUCUUUUUACAGGGUUUCAAAAGUGUGUAUUAUUUUAUUGUAUUUCUGGUUGUUUACUCUACAUUAAGAUAUUUAAAAAUAAAAAUAGAUUCUCAACCUAAAUUUUAAUUUUUUAUCUCUCUUCCUCUUUUUCUCAUUCUUUAUUUCAUGUUUCUUAAUCAGUAAAGAAUGGAAGAAUAGGCCGGG